CGGCGUGGAUAAGACAUGCAAGUCGAACGAGAGAAUUGCUAGCUUGCUAAUAAUUCUCUAGUGGCGCACGGGUGAGUAACACGUGAGUAACCUGCCCCCAAGAGUGGGAUAGCCCCGGGAAACUGGGAUUAAUACCGCAUAAAAUCGCAAGAUUAAAGCAGCAAUGCGCUUGGGGAUGGGCUCGCGUCCUAUUAGUUAGUUGGUGAGGUAACGGCUCACCAAGGCGAUGACGGGUAGCCGGUCUGAGAGGAUGUCCGGCCACACUGGAACUGAGACACGGUCCAGACACCUACGGGUGGCAGCAGUCGAGAAUCAUUCACAAUGGGGGAAACCCUGAUGGUGCGACGCCGCGUGGGGGAAUGAAGGUCUUCGGAUUGUAAACCCCUGUCAUGUGGGAGCAAAUUAAAAAGAUAGUACCACAAGAGGAAGAGACGGCUAACUCUGUGCCAGCAGCCGCGGUAAUACAGAGGUCUCAAGCGUUGUUCGGAAUCACUGGGCGUAAAGCGUGCGUAGGCGGUUUCGUAAGUCGUGUGUGAAAGGCGGGGGCUCAACCCCCGGACUGCACAUGAUACUGCGAGACUAGAGUAAUGGAGGGGGAACCGGAAUUCUCGGUGUAGCAGUGAAAUGCGUAGAUAUCGAGAGGAACACUCGUGGCGAAGGCGGGUUCCUGGACAUUAACUGACGCUGAGGCACGAAGGCCAGGGGAGCGAAAGGGAUUAGAUACCCCUGUAGUCCUGGCAGUAAACGGU
rnacentral:rRNA from 1 species